AUAACGGCUCAUCACAUCCUCCGUCUGUAGUAGGUCCGAAGGUUUGGGCUGUUCGCCCAUUAAAGUGGUACGUGAGGUGGGUUCAAACGGAAGUUUUACAGGUA
rnacentral:ncRNA from 1 species